UACAGAGGGUGCGAGCGUUAAUCGGAAUUACUGGGCGUAAAGCGCACGUAGGCGGCUUUGCAAGUCAGGCGUGAAAUCCCCGGGCUUAACCUGGGAAUGGCAUUUGGGACUGCAAGGCUUGAGUGCGGCAGAGGAGACUGGAAUUCCUGGUGUAGCAGUGAAAUGCGUAGAUAUCAGGAGGAAUACCGAUGGCGAAGGCAGGUCUCUGGGCUGACACUGACGCUCAUGCACGAAAGCGUGGGGAGCAAACAGG
rnacentral:rRNA from 1 species